rnacentral:rRNA from 2 species
UCGCCUGUUUAUCAAAAACAUCGCCUCUUGCAAACUCACCAUAUAAGAGGUCCCGCCUGCCCUGUGACUAACAAGUUUAACGGCCGCGGUAUUUUGACCGUGCGAAGGUAGCGUAAUCACUUGUCUUUUAAAUGAAGACCUGUAUGAAUGGCAUAACGAGGGCUAAGCUGUCUCCUUUUCCUGGUCAAUGAAAUUAAUCUUCCCGUGCAGAAGCGGGAAUAACAGCAUAAGACGAGAAGACCCUAUGGAGCUUUAGACAAAAGGAAGCCCAUGUAAAAACACCUAGAUCAAUAGAAUUAACCAACUGGUGUCUCCCCUCUUGUCUUUGGUUGGGGCGACCGCGGGGGAACAAAAAUCCCCCACAUGGAACAGGAGCUUACUCCUCAAAACCAGAGCCACAGCUCUAGUAAACAGAAUAUCUGACCUACAAGAUCCGGCAAGGCCGAUCAAUGGACCCAGUUACCCUAGGGAUAACAGCGCAAUCCCCUUUUAGAGCCCAUAUCGACAAGGGGGUUUACGACCUCGAUGUUGGAUCAGGACAUCCUAAUGGUGCAGCCGCUAUUAAGGGUUCGUUUGUUCAACGAUUAAAGUCCUACGUGAUCUGAGUUCAGACCAGA